rnacentral:rRNA from 1 species
GACGAACGCUGGCGGCGUGCUUAACACAUGCAAGUCGAACGGAAAGGCCCUGCUUUUGUGGGGUGCUCGAGUGGCGAACGGGUGAGUAACACGUGAGUAACCUGCCCUUGACUUUGGGAUAACUUCAGGAAACUGGGGCUAAUACCGGAUAGGAGCUCUUGCUGCAUGGUGGGGGUUGGAAAGUUUCGGCGGUUGGGGAUGGACUCGCGGCUUAUCAGCUUGUUGGUGGGGUAGUGGCUUACCAAGGCUUUGACGGGUAGCCGGCCUGAGAGGGUGACCGGCCACAUUGGGACUGAGAUACGGCCCAGACUCCUACGGGAGGCAGCAGUGGGGAAUAUUGCACAAUGGGCGGAAGCCUGAUGCAGCAACGCCGCGUGCGGGAUGACGGCCUUCGGGUUGUAAGCCGCUUUCGCCUGUGACGAAGCGUGAGUGACGGUAAUGGGUAAAGAAGCACCGGCUAACUACGUG